rnacentral:lncRNA from 1 species
CUAAUUUGUAGGAGGCCUCUGAGUUUUGCGGAGCGACCUCGACUGGCAAAACCUAGGAUUCGUGGCAUGGCGGCGCCGCUCUUCCCUCAAGCAAGGCACUGCUGCAGUGCAGGGCUAGUUCUCAGCAACGAUCAUGGGGUGCAGCGGGAGUUUUUUUCAAUUGGAGGCUUUUCUGGUCGGAGGCUUCUCUGAUCGUUUUCUGGAAUCGAUCCACCAUUCGGUGAGGGCGGAUUGUUGCUUCGAUUUGGGCGGCGUCCGGGUGUUGAGGAUUAGAAUAUGAGGGAGGUGGCGUCUGAUUGCGGCGAACGGCAUUUGAUUGCGGCGGGCUUCCGGGUGAUUUGGGCUGUGAGAUUGUAGUUGAGGGGAUCAGGUUGCGUCGGAAAAGGGAGGCGGCAUCUGCUUGCUAAGGUAGGUCCGGGUCAGGGGCUUCUCUUUCGAACGACGAUGGUGGAGGAGUGAAGCCAGCCACCAGAGUGAUGGGUGGACGGC